CUACGGGGGGCUGCAGUGGGGAAUAUUGGACAAUGGGGGAAACCCUGAUCCAGCAAUGCCGCGUGUGUGAAGAAGGCCUGCGGGUUGUAAAGCACUUUCGGUUGGGAGGACUGCUUCUAGCACUAAUAUUGUUGGAAGUUGACGUUACCUUCAGAAGAAGCACCGGCUAACUCCGUGCCAGCAGCCGCGGUAAUACGGAGGGUGCAAGCGUUAAUCGGAAUUACUGGGCGUAAAGCGCGCGUAGGCGGCUAGAUCAGUCGGGUGUGAAAGCCCCGGGCUUAACCUGGGAACUGCAUCCGAUACUGUCUAGCUUGAGUACAGGAGAGGAGAGUGGAAUUCCACAUGUAGUGGUGAAAUGCGUAGAUAUGUGGAGGAACACCAAUGGCGAAGGCAGCUCUCUGGCCUGAUACUGACGCUGAGGUACGAAAGCGUGAGGAGCAAACAGGAUUAGAUACCCCUGUAGUC
rnacentral:rRNA from 1 species